rnacentral:tRNA from 1 species
AUCUAUCUAGUAUAGUAUGUAUAAUUGACUUCCAAUCAAAAGGCCUGAAAAAAUUCAGGAUAGAUA